rnacentral:rRNA from 1 species
AACGAACGCUGGCGGCAUGCCUAACACAUGCAAGUCGAACGAGACCUUCGGGUCUAGUGGCGCACGGGUGCGUAACGCGUUGGAACCUGCCCUUAGGUUCGGAAUAACUCCCCGAAAGGGGUGCUAAUACCGGAUAAUGUCUUCGGACCAAAGAUUUAUCGCCUUUGGAUGGGCCCGCGUUGGAUUAGCUAGUUGGUAGGGUAAAAGCCUACCAAGGCGACGAUCCAUAGCUGGUCUGAGAGGAUGAUCAGCCACACUGGGACUGAGACACGGCCCAGACUCCUACGGGAGGAAGCAGUGGGGAAUAUUGGACAAGGGGCGAAAGCCUGAUCCAGCAAUGCCGCGUGAGUGAUGAAGGCCUUAGGGUUGUAAAGCUCUUUUAACCGGGAUGAUAAUGACAGUACCGGGAGAAUAAGCUCCGGCUAACUCCGUG